rnacentral:rRNA from 1 species
UACGUAGGGUCCGGACGCGUUGUCCGGAAUUACUGGGCGUAAAGAGCUCGUAGGUGGUUUGUCGCGUUGUUCGUGAAAACUCACAGCUUAACUGUGGGCGUGCGGGCGAUACGGGCAGACUGGAGUACUGCAGGGGAGACUGGAAUUCCUGGUGUAGCGGUGAAAUGCGCAGAUAUCAGGAGGAACACCGGUGGCGAAGGCGGGUCUCUGGGCCGAAAACUGACGCUGGAGGAGCGAAAGCGUGGGGAGCGAACAGG